AUGUCCCCCUGCUGUGGCCGCUCCUCCCGAGGCCACCCCUGCAGGCACUCUGUGGUACCAGGUUUUCCCAAACAUACUCCUGAGGGGAGGCCUGCACAGCCCCAGGUGCCCUCCGGGGGCCCUGCGAGACCCCACCCCCUGCCCAGGGCCUGGGCCUCCCCCUGCCCUCCUUUGCCAGCAUCCAGGGUAGGGGCCCCCCGUCCUGCAAACUCGCGGCAGAGCAGUGAGUGGGGGGUCCUCCUCGGGUCCCCCCUUCAGCAUGUGGCCAGAGGGGGCAAAGUUCAGAGAGGCACGUGGCCGGGGCGCGGGGGGCAAGGACACCCGGCUCAGGGGUCCCGAACAGACCCGGUUCGGCCGCUCGCCGCUCACAACAUCCAAAGGCAGAGGCCGGGUGGUGGUGGUGACACAGAGGCUGUUUCAGCGAGGCGAGCUCUGGGAGGACGGCGGGCCCGCGUCUCAAGAACGGUCUCCUCAGUGCUGAGACUGGCUGGUUUCUGUAGGGAGAUGGGGCGAGUGGGUGGGCAUGGGCCAGUGGGCGGCGAGGGUCGGGUGGGUGCCAUCUGCCAUCUCGGGGCGGUCAGAAGUCUCGCUGACUCCCAGCAGGCUUGUGCUGGAGACAUAGUUUCCGUCCCCAUCAGGGGAUGCUGCCCCGGGGGUUUCUGCCCGAUGAGAGGCCAGCUGGAAAGAACUUCACCAAUUAGAAGGUACAGACGAGGUCAGAACAGAGGUGGCCAAAGUCCUCGUUCAGACAGAGGGGGGUGGGCUAUGCCUCGGGCACCGGGCACUGCGCCCUCCCUGCAGGAGAGGCUCUGUAUCACAGUCCCAUUUUAUAGACAAGAGGCCAAGGCUCCAGGAGCAGCCUCUGAGGGCCUGCCUGGGGUCUCGCAGCAGGGGACCCGCCUGUCUCCAGAGCCACAUUUCCCCAGAGCGAGUGUGGGAAGUGCAAGGGACAGCCCUGGGUCACCUGCAGGGCAGGGGACUGGCACCCACCAUCUGGGUCCCUCCAGACUGAAAGUGGAGGCCUCCAGGGGGCGGGGCCCAGGCCCAUUGUCCCUGUCCCUCUGCCUACUGACUGUCUGA
rnacentral:lncRNA from 1 species